AGCGAACGCUGGCGGCAGGCCUAACGCAUGCAAGUCGAACGGAUCCUUCGGGAUUAGUGGCGGACGGGUGAGUAACACGUGGGAACGUGCCCUUUGGUUCGGAACAACUCAGGGAAACUUGAGCUAAUACCGGAUGUGCCCUUCGGGGGAAAGAUUUAUCGCCAUUGGAGCGGCCCGCGUCUGAUUAGCUAGUUGGUGGGGUAACGGCCCACCAAGGCGACGAUCAGUAGCUGGUCUGAGAGGAUGAUCAGCCACACUGGGACUGAGACACGGCCCAGACUCCUACGGGAGGCAGCAGUGGGGAAUCUUGCGCAAUGGGCGAAAGCCUGACGCAGCCAUGCCGCGUGAAUGAUGAAGGUCUUAGGAUUGUAAAAUUCUUUCAGCGGGGACGAUAAUGACGGUACCCGCAGAAGAAGCUCCGGCUAACUUCGUG
rnacentral:rRNA from 1 species